CAGCCGCGGUAACACCGGCAGCUCUAGUGGUAGCAAUUUUAUUGGGCCUAAAGCGUCCGUAGCCGGUUUAAUAAGUCUCUGGUGAAAUCCUGCAGCUUAACUGUGGGAAUUGCUGGAGAUACUAUUAGACUUGAGACCGGGAGAGGUUAGAGGUACUCCCAGGGUAGAGGUGAAAUUCUGUAAUCCUGGGAGGACCGCCUGUUGCGAAGGCGUCUAACUGGAACGGUUCUGACGGUGAGGGACGAAAGUUAGGGGCGCGAACCGGAUUAGAUACCCGGGUAGUCCUAACUGUAAACGAUGCGGACUUGGUGUUGGGGUGGCUUUGAGCUGUCUCAGUGCCGAAGGGAAGCUGUUAAGUCCGCCGCCUGGGAAGUACGGUCGCAAGACUGAAACUUAAGGAAUUGGCGGGGGAGCACCACAACGCGUGGAGCCUGCCGGUUUAAUUGGAUUCAACGCCGGACAUCUCACCAGAGGCGACAGCUGUAUGAUAGCCAGGUUGAUGACUUUGCUUGACUAGCUGAGUGGUGGUGCAUGG
rnacentral:rRNA from 1 species